UUGGCAACGCCGGGCGCGGCGGCCCGCGGGGACUGCAAUUCCCACCCGCCUACCCCCCACCUCCCACCUCCCACCCCCCACCCCCGGGGCCGGGCACCUGCCCUGGAGCGCCCUGGCGCUGCUCUUGCUGCUGCUGCUGCUGCUCCUGCUGCUGCUGCUCCUGCUCGCGGAUGGCUAGGCUGCCCGAGGCCGCGCACACUCCGCGCGUGGCCCGGGCCGGGGUGCCGAGACUACCGAGGGCGCCCACUCCACCCCUUGAUGGACCAAGACUCGCCUGCAGUGUGGGAUGGGGGCUCCCCGAGGCCUCCUGCCUGGAAAAGCAAAGGUGGUUUCUCCGUGGACAGUUUGGUUAGGCAGUAGCCCCACAGCUGGAUUCAAGACCCUUACAGCCUGGAGUCAUUUCGUGUACCACUUGGUUUCCCCAGAACUCUGCAGCACGUGCGCCAUGUGUAGCAGGAACUUCACGUUUAUCAAUAACAAAGCAUCAUAGUCAACAAUGACUCAAAACAAAGUGUUUUAGAAAUUUAUUCAUUAUUUAUUCCCUGCUACUUCCAAAGGAGGAUCUGAGAUAACUUAUAGUAAAACACUUGUAGAAAAUAUCAUUGUUAGAUCAGAAAUAUUUUUGUAGUGCAAAAAGCAAAUAUGCCCCCAGUGUAAGCCUAUGUAUUAAGAUUGAGCUUUAUUUAACAUUUAACCUGCACUUUAUGAAAGCCAUGCAGAAAGGAAAAUGACUUUUAUGAUUAUUGUUAUUUGAGUUUAAAAGUACACAACCACUUCUUUUAAUGGAAACACAUUUUCCUGGUACCAAUUCCAAAAUACGUUUAUUCUUUUCUAAAGAGCCUAGAAUAAUACAGAUGACAGUGUACCUCCCCCACUUUUCUUUUCUUUUCUUUCUUUUCUUUUUUUUUUUUUUUUUUUUUUUACCAAAUACAGCAAGAGUCUUGAUGUGAUUGUUUCUUGUGGUCACCUUUGAUCAAUGCUGAGGGGGUGACACUAGAACACAUGUCAUCAAAGAGAGGGCCAAGCAAUUGAUACCCCAUUUCUUAGCUCUCUAGUGAUGCUACCCAGUAACAAACUUAGAACUUCCAUACUGGUAGGAAUAAGUGGACAUCCUCAUAAGUGCCCUUAAUAAUGGUCCCCUCCACAGAGCUUCUGUUGGGUGCUGGAUAGCAAUCAAUUUAAGAGGGAGCUGAAGCCUGGAGUGCAUAAUAGUCUGUGUUGCAGAUGAAAGAAGAAGCCAUAUGCCUCAUAUCACAAGCGUGAAGCCAACAAGGUUGAGAUUCUAUUUUAAAAGUCUACUUUUGGGGGAUCCCCGGGUGGCUCAGUGGUUUAGCGCCUGCCUCCGGCCCAGGUCAUGAUCCUGGAGUCCCAGGAUCAAGUCCCAAGAUCAAGUCCCACAUCGGGCUCCCUGCGUGGAGUCUGCUUCUCCCUCUGCCUUUGUCUCUGCCUCUCUCUCUCUCUCUCAUGAAUAAAUAAAUAAAGUCUUUUUUAAAAAAGCCUACUUUUUUAUACCAAUGGAAGAAAACAUCAGAUUAGUAAAGGCUUUAUUUGGAAAAUAUUUUUUGUCUCAAUUCGAUUCUUUUAGGAUACUAUCACUAGGCAAUUAUUUGGGAAGAAAAGAUAAAAUCAAAUUUUUCUUUUGUGGUACACAAUAAAGUAUAUUGCAGAAGUUGAAAAAACAAUAAACUUGGAUCAUGAUGGACACUCUUGCUUUAUCUCACCCUCUGCCAGUUAGUGGUUUCUUGUGAUUUUACAGAAGUCUUUAAUCACCCUGAACUUCACUUUUAUUCCAUCUACAUAAUGAAAAACAUGGACUAGAUCAGCUCUAAGCAAUCUCUUGCACUUCUGACGUUCUUUAAUGCUGGUUGUUUCCUUUGUUUGCUUCUUUUAACAUACUGGUUGUAGUUGAGAUUGAGCAAAUCAUGCCCUUUAUUUCAAUUCUUGGUUCACAGUUCAGCUUGGGUCAAUUCUUGCAUACAAUUUAUCCUGCAGGGUUGCAGGAAGAACUAGUGCACUUAACCUCCAGGAAAUAAGCAAGGGGUUUCUCUAUAGUUGCACUUUUAAUAAAUUUAAACCUACCUAAAACUGACAAAAUCUUCCUAACUCCAACCCCCCACCCCUACCCCAGGCUCUCAGAGCUCAUCCCUGCUCUUGUUUAUGCUCUUUCUCCUCUCACUUUUGGAGGUGUUGAUAUUGUUGCAAUUAUCACAUUAUAUUAAACUUAUUUGUCUGCCUCCUGUAUAAGCUUGUAAGCUUCCUGAAUAGAGGGAGGUUUAUUUGGCUUUCCUCCACAUAGGAACGGACACAUUCUAGGCCCUCUAUAAAAGUUUGUUGAACCAAACUGCUAAUAAGUGAAAGAAAGAAAAAAAGAAAGGAGGAAAGGAGGAGAGGAUUGGCUGCUUUAUAUCUGAUGUCAUAAUCCUGUUGAGGCAAGAGACAGCAAAUUUAACAGCCAGUUGGUGGUUCUUAUGGCAUCAUAAUUCCACCACUAGCUAGGAGCCAUUUGUUCUAGAGAAGUGUCAUGUGAUAAAAGUCUGGACGGAUUAGGAAAAGUCCAUAAUUUGGCCCACUCUGAAUUUUACCUGCAUCAGUCAACUGGAAAGAUUUUUAGUUA
rnacentral:lncRNA from 1 species